GUAGCGCCGCCGGCUUCGCUCCGCGGGCGGGAGCCAAGCUGCCGAGGAAGCCCCGGGGCACGUUGCUCAGCGGGACCCUGGAACUACUCAGCUCGGGGAACCGAGCUGCGGGCUUCGGGGCCGGAGGAGCUGAGCUGACGGUCCGCACGGUGGCGGAGACCUGGAACCCCGCACACAAAGGCCGUUCAGCCGGCUGAGCACCGCCGCGUCGUGAGUCCCGAAGUGGCGGCGAGGCGCGAUCGGAGAGGUAUUUGCCCAGCACCUGACAUGUUCAAGGCACCGAUGAAGAAGUGUGUGUGAAAUAGUAUAAAACGUCGUGAACAUUUUUAACGAGACCGUAGGAGAAGCAGGCCCUCUGAUGGCAGGACUGCUAGGGGAGCACAGCAUCAUGAACGUAUCUUCUCCAGCUUGCUCUCCAGAAAGAAUGAACAUAUGGAAAAUGGUAUUUCAUUUCUUCAUGGCUGCUGACCCUAGAGAGGCUUCAUGGACAACAUGGACACUCACCUUAACAUGAGGCUACUGAGACAUGUUAUCAGAGAAGCAGCAAAAACAACAAUAACAACAGCUACAGUCUGGGGCCAAACUGCCAGAAGCCCAAGGAUGAAAAAGACCACCCUUCCUCUCUAGUCUUCUCCUGUGGUCCUGGGUUUCUUGUUUUUGUUUUUGUCAGGAAUGCUUCCUCAGGAGCCACAUAGCUGUGAGCAGCAGUUUCUUCUGGAAACAGAGGCAGUAGGUGCCUACCUCUGUAUGGCAGGAUCAUGUUCUCACUUGGGGCAUCAAGUAUUUCUUCAUCCAAAUGGAAACAUGUGGUCUUGCCCUUCUUGUUUCAGCAGCUCCCACCGCCAGCCACAGACCAAGUGAAGACAAGGAAGGCUGCUACCUGGAGGAGGCUCCCUAGCCCACGAGGGAGUUCAGAGUGCCUCUCAGAGAAUAGGACUUUGGAUUGGACUGUGGCUUGAGCUGUGACUCUUUCUCCCGGCAAACUGUGUAUCAGAAGACACAAGAAGAUGCUCCCUGCAGUGUGUAGUCCCAGCCCCAGAUGCCAGUGGUCGAGAGGAAGUUGCCAUUUUUCCUUCUGUUUACCCCUCAAGGGUCUGUCUCCCCGGAUCUUUGAGUUAUUCGUAUCCUGACUUUGUACAUCAGUCCUGGUAUCUGAAUGCACGUACCAGUGCUCCCAGCACGGGCAGGUUGUGGUUCCACCACUCCAGCUGUAUGAUUUGGGGCCUUCAGUUCAUACCCCUGAGCUUCAUGGGAGUAGUCAUGCCUGUCCUGCUUGCUUGAUCAAAUAAAAUCCCAACUUUGUGAAUCUGAAAACGUACGGUUCCAGAGCUCACAUGCUACUCACCACAGCCUUUGUCUGCUCCAGGCAGCCGUCUGCCUACUGUCAUCCUGGGCAAGUGAUCUUCCAGCGUCAGACUGAGCUCAGGCUGGGGAGCUACCCUCCUCAGAAGUUCUGAUGGUUAGAGUGUCCUUCCCUGGGUUGGGCUGAAAUAGGAACCCUUUAGUAACUUUUACCUGCUGGUCUCCGUCUCCACUUCUUCUCUGGACUCAACAGUGUAUUUUAUCCCAAAGGUGUUCUCUAUAUUGGAACUACUGUAAAAAAUACCACUACAAUUUUUUUAAACUAGUUAUCAAGUCAUCUUAGCUUUUUUUUGCCAGUUCUGCCUUUGGGGUUCUGAUCUGUAUUGACCACAUGGUGCAGGGUGUUCCUGAACUUUCUUAGGGGUCCUUGUGUCAUUGGUUAUAAAACUUUUCCUGAAGCUCCCUGGGGGCAGUAUUAUUAAUAAUUAUUAAUGGCAGAUGGCCCCACACAAAUUUGUGGGAGUGCACAAAUCCAAAGGCCAUAAUUGGAAAAACAUGCUUCUUAAUAUGCUUUAAGUUAUCUUAGUUAACUUGGAAGUAAUUGCAUCUCUAUCACCUUGAAUUAUUUUUUAUUAUGAACAAUAGUAGAGACAUAUCAAGUUUCAGUAAGAAAAGAGGAGCCCUAGAGGAUGCAGAGAAAGAGGAUCUCUUUUACACGGCUGGUGGGAAUGCAAACUGGUGCAGCCAUUCU